rnacentral:lncRNA from 1 species
AGGGAGCAGGCUCAAGGGAAAUCAUUCUGCUGGGUCCCAAGUUGCACGGGAAAGAGCAGGGCUUUGUGAGGCUAUCUUUGGUUGCCUGGAUACAUCAUUUGGAUACUUCCACCCAUUCUGCUCCUUCUGGAUAGAACUCUUCUUAAAAGCAAGCAAACAACAACAAAAGAAAC